AACUGCUAAAAGAAAGACAAGCCCGGAAACCUAUUUUAGAAGUGUCCGUCGUCCGUCUCCUUAUAACGUAAUGGUAACAGUCGACGCAAAACCCACCAAAUCGCUCAAAUUCGCCAUUUAUAGCCACAGAAACGACAAUACACAGCAAGUGAGGUUUGGGACCCUCAGUCAGUUGUAAACCAGCUCUUUCUUAGUGAACAGGUGUAUAGAAAAGAGCUACGCAUUUUAUUGUUGGUAAAGACAGAGUCCUGUCCUAUAAGGACCAUCUUAUCAAACUUAAGUUACUGCCACCAAGUUACUGGCUUGAAUAGCUAGACUUAGUUCUCUUCCAUAAGUGCAUGAAAGGUGAUGUUAAAUUUGCCAGACAUUUUGAUAACUAUUUUUUAUUAUUAAGGGGGCACUCUCACCAUCCUAGUACUGAGCUUUAUCUUAGGACAAAUAGAAACCCUACCUCACAUUUUUGGGACUAUUUCUUUAAUACAAUUGUAUCGUGUGGAAUAGUAUCCCUGAUGAUAUCAAGUUGGUGGAAUCCUUCGGUUCAUUUUUUAAGGAACUUUACAAUUUUUUCAAUGGGGACAAUGUUCAUUCAUUUAAGAUUAUCUCUCCCAAAUUUAGAAGAGUAAAUUUUUAUUGUGCCUGCACUUGAAAAUUAUUAAUUAAUCAAAUAACCCUUUUUUUGGUUGAUGGAUUGUGGAAGGCAUUUUUUUUUCUUGUUUUUAAAUUAUUAUUACCAUGGGGCUGGGCUGGUAUUUGAAUCUUGUAGGGGACAUAAUGUCUUAUUAUUUGUACUACCUGUACAUUGUAAUUAGUCUACAAAUCUUUAAAUAAGUAAAUACUCAAAAUAGGCAAUUUUGGUCGGGGAGAAACUCAUUUUAGUGUCCUUUUGAAGAACAUUGCAGAAAAUGUUUAUAUUGAAAUGUUUUACAGUGAAGGCAAGGGGCAUGAAAGAUUUAGUAGGCUGCAGUUAUCAUUCAUAUAGUUUUUCCUUUUAGAUAACUGUGUAAUUCUUAAUUAGAUUGAUUAGGAAUGGAAUUUUGUGUUAGAUGUAUACAUGUAGCUUCAUGCCGGUGGAUCAAAAACUUGCAUCUCAUGGCAGACUACUGUUUUAUUCCUAGCCCAAAAAAAAAUUGCAACAUUAAUUACAGCAUUGACAGAUACUUUUAAUGAAAACAUAAAGGAAAAGGAUUUUGGCCUAAAUUGUGUGAGUAAUAAAGCGUAAAACUCAAAAGUCUUAAGCCUGCAUUCAGGAAAUGCAUAGAAUUGUAGAAAAUAGGUCAGUGGAUGUCCUUUUGGUUUGUUGGACAUGAGGAGGUUCUCAUUGAAAAAUCUUGGUCCUCUUAGGGUAAAAAUGUCUUGAUAUUGACUAGGGUAAAUUUGGCAAGUAUACAAUUUCCUUUAUUUUUGUAAACCUCAAUUGUGAAGGCAGUGCAGUUGAGUUAAUUAAGUCUUGGGCACAAUACAUAACCUUUUCACUUUCUAGAUCUGUCUUUUUGGGGUCAGAGUUCAAGCCCUUUGGUACUUUGAUCACCUAGUUUUUCUAUCUCUUUAAGUUGUCUUUGUUUUUCUGUUAACUUCGGAAAGCUCAUUUAUGUUGUGGCAAUGAAAAAUUGUUCAUAAUACUUUUUUAGUCUCUGAGAUAAAGGUGCUAUGUUGGGCAUGCGGGCCCGCGGUAUCUGUCACAUAUGGGCACUCAUGCCAUGUAUGUACCCUGUAGAUUUGAGAACCGCGCGCCAUGUUGAAAAUAUAGACGUUGAGUUUGUAUUGAGUUGUAGUUUUUCGUAUGACUUAAAUCCGUGAAACACAACAAAAGGAACACUCUGAUGACAGCUGUGUCUGUUCAAAUAGGAAUUUUUAAGCUGUGCAUUGCCAUAUUUUAUAUCAAGAAAGUGGUAAUGAUGUGUUGUUGUGAUAUGCAAAUUUUUACAGUUUAAACUGGGUGGAUUAGUUGCACCCAAAUAACAUCUGGUUGUAAACAUUCAGUUACUCAAUAAAGAAAAUGUUAGUUGUUA